rnacentral:rRNA from 1 species
UACGAAGGGGGCUAGCGUUGCUCGGAAUCACUGGGCGUAAAGGGUGCGUAGGCGGGUUUUUAAGUCAGGGGUGAAAUCCUGGAGCUCAACUCCAGAACUGCCUUUGAUACUGAAGAUCUUGAGUUCGGGAGAGGUGAGUGGAACUGCGAGUGUAGAGGUGAAAUUCGUAGAUAUUCGCAAGAACACCAGUGGCGAAGGCGGCUCACUGGCCCGAUACUGACGCUGAGGCACGAAAGCGUGGGGAGCAAACAGGG